rnacentral:rRNA from 1 species
UACGUAGGCAGCAAGCGUUGUUCGGAAUUACUGGGCGUAAAGCGUGUGUAGGCGGCCAUGUAAGUCGGGUGUGAAAGCCCCGGGCUCAACCCGGGAAGUGCACUCGAAACUGCGUGGCUUGAGUAUCGGAGAGGUUGGUGGAAUUCUCGGUGUAGAGGUGAAAUUCGUAGAUAUCGAGAGGAACACCGGUGGCGAAGGCGGCCAACUGGACGAAUACUGACGCUGAGACACGAAAGCGUGGGGAGCAAACAGG